rnacentral:rRNA from 1 species
UACCUGGUUGAUCCUGCCAGUAGUCAUAUGCUUGGUUCAAAGAUUAAGCCAUGCAUGUCUAAGUUUAAGAUGCUGAUGGUUGGCUUCGGUCAGCCGGAUAGCCUUUGAAACUGCACAUGGCUCAUUAAAUCGGUGGUAGUCCCUCACAAUUUCUAUGGUCGGUUUGUUCAUGGAUUCAUUAUUUUUUGGCGAUGUUGGCGUCAAAACUAGCGUCGUUUUGAAAUGUGUUUCCUACAAUGGGCAUGCCGACCAAAAUGGAUAUCUGUGGGAAUUCUAGAGCUAAUACAUGAACUUGACAAGACGACUGGAAGAUUGAUUUUUUUAGCGGGAAACCGUGACGGAAAUUGGUUUGAUCAGCGUCGGCGUUUGUCGUAUUAAUUGAAAUCCUAAGGACCUGUGCUUUUGCACAAAGUGAACGUUUAACCGUUUGGUGGAAUCCUGGCAAACAUAUGCAAAUCGCAGUUUGUAGCAUCCGGUUUACUGGAUGUUAUAGCGAUGAUUUGUAGGGUCUUCCGACUCAUCAGCCAUGUUGGUACUCUAUGGGUCUACCAAGCAUCGACGGGUGACGGAGGAUUGGGUUUGAUCCCGGAGAGGGAGCCUGAGAGAUGGCUACCACUUCUAAGGAAGGCAGCAGGCGCGCAAAUUACCCAAUGCCAAAACGGCGAGGUAGUGACAAUCAAUAACGACGUGGACUCUCUAAGAGGGUCCACGAUCGGAAUGAGCUCGCCCCAGACAAUCGAGCAAGUAACGAUCGGAGGAAAAGCCUGGUGCCAGCACCCGCGGUAAUUCCAGCUCCGAUAGCAUAUAUUAAAGUUGUUGCAGUUAAAAAGCUCGUAGUUGGACCCGAGUGCAAUUUGGUUGCAUCAACUCUGCCGCGAGUAGUGUGAAUAUUGCAGAUUGUGUACAAGAUUUUUUAAAGCAACCUUUGAGAUGGACAGUGUUACAACCAUUGGAACAUCGAAUUGGAAUGUUUUUAUUAGAAAAAAAUACCUGGAACAAAUUAGGGUGUUCAAAGCAGGCGGCUCUUAGAGUGUCACGAAUAGGUCAGCGUGGGAUAUAAAGUGGUACCCCUGUAACCCAUUUUGGGUUUGGUUUUUCGUUUGAAAAUAAGAAUCCAGAACGUUCGUGCUUGAAAAGCAACGAUGCGUGCUUGCACGCAUCGUUGUUUUUGUUUGGUCCUUGGAGGGAAAUUCAGUGGGAACGAUUGAUGAGGGCGGUCAGUGGCGUCGGUAUUUGGCCGUCAGAGGUGAAAUUCUUGGACCGGCCAAAGACCAUCAUCAGCGAAAGCAUUCGCCAGGUACACUCUUUUUCGAUCAAGAACGAAAGUCGGGGGAUCGAAGAUGAUCAGAUACCGUCGUAGUCCCGACCGCAAACGUUGCCAACCAGGGAUCAGGAGGCGUCGCAUGGACGGCCCUUCUGGCACCCCCAGGGAAACCUAGAGUCUUUGGGUUCCGGGGGGAGUAUGGUCGCAAGGCUGAAACUUAAAGGAAUUGACGGAAGGGCACCACCAGGCGUGGGGUUUGCGGCUUAAUUCGAUAGGCCAAGUAAUAGUGAAAAGCUAUUGCUAGUCACUGUGAAAUCAUCACGCUACACGUUCACAGUGGCAACAUCACCAAAUUGCCGGGAGUUCUCGCAAAGUCACCAGUACCGCGCUGGUACCGAAAGGUCCGACCAGUGCACCGUAGGGAAACUUGCGGGUAUGGUAAGAAUCUGGUAGAAUAGAGAUAAUCGGCAGCCAAGUCCUAAGGGAGGCAUUGAUUGAAAAAAUUUUUUGUAAUGAAAAUAUUUUUUUAUUUUAUUGCUUCCACGGAUGCAGUUCACAGACUAAAUGGUGGUGGGCGCUUUUCGCGCUUAAGAUAUAGUCGAGUCCCACCCGAGAGGGUGCCCCUAGAGGAGGUUGUGUAGAACCAGAGCUAGUGGGAGGCAACGAUUGUUUUGUUUUUGUUGCUCGGUACCAACGUAAUUCGACUCAACACGGGAAACCUUACCAGGUCCGGACUCCGUAAGGAUUGACAGACUGAUGGACCUUUCUUGAUCCUGAGGGUGGUGGUGCAUGGCCGUUCUUGGUUGGUGGAGCGAUCCGUCAGGUCAAUNCCGUUAACGAACGAAACCUCGACCCCCUAAUAGUGGCGUUUGCUCUACAACUCGGGGAAAAUCUCGAUAACAAACGUGCUUUGUGANUUCUACUGCAUGAGUUAUGGUGUGUAUGGGUUACCACGUGGGC